CGUAUGUGUACAUCAAACGCUGAUAAGGCACCGGGUUUGCUUGUGAGUGACAAUUUACAACUAUUAUACCAACAUGCUGCUGUGUGCGAUGACCGUAUAUGUGAACAUCAAUCGCUGAUAAGGCACCGGUAUCAUUAAUACACAGCAGCUCAAAAAAAGGAAAAACGAUAAGUAAAUCAAAAAUUCGACAUAUCAAAGUGCUGUGUGUGGCGAUCGUGUGUGUGUCGGGGAGCACUUGGUGCACGAGAGAGUACGAGUAUGCUUUUUGGGUAUUUCAUCGGAAUAGUUAUUUCAUCACUAUGCUAAUAUUGCAUCAGCCUAUAGCUUAAUUGCGAUUGGUUGUAGUUUUGCAUUUCUGAAAACAACCGUUAUGUCGCGGCGACAACUGAAGAAGGAGAAUACUAAGGAAAUAGAUCAGUCGAACAUUAGACUUCGUUGUGACCAAAACUCUCUGCGUUAGAACAAAAAAAAAAAAAAUAACAACGUGCCCUCAAAUAUCACUGAUUCGCCAAUGUGUACAUCAAUCGCCGACAACGCAAAGGGACAAUCCGCACACAGUGGUUUACAAGUUGUUUGAAGUCGAUAAAACAACAACAAAGGUGGAAGGAAACAUACAACUUUCACUAAACACAGGGAAGCAAGGAAAAGAGGGAACUGCGUAUCGGAUACACACUACAGCCAGAUUUCUUAUCAAUACAUGUAACAAAAAAACACCAUUAGUAACACAUGCUAGUUCAAUUCCAAAACAAUAUUCCCACCAACGCUAUGGAUUUCGGUAACGCAUCAGGCCACUAAGUCCCACCCUUAGCAAUUUAUCGACUUCCACAAACACAAGCCUGAAUCUACAACAACUACUAGCCCUUGUUCAUCAACUACCCACAUACGAAGGCCCACCUGACAACCUUGAUAGAUUCGUUAGUAGAGUAGAACAACUACUUUUGUUAGCCGGAUCAGUGGGCCAAGCAACUUGCGGACAGUACUUACUGAGAGCUAUCCGUGACAAAAUUAAAGGCAGGGUGGACGAGGCGCUGUGUGUCUGAGAUGUACUCCUCAGUUGGGAUGACAUCAAAACAAACCUCAAGCGGCUACACUCUAAUAAACCAUUCACGUUGACCACAGACGCAAGUAACUAUGCGAUAGGCUCUGUGUUGUCACAAGGCCCGACACUAAUGACAGACCCAUAUCUUUCGCUAGCAGGAUACUAUCGGAUACGGAAAUCCGCUAUUCUACGAUAGAGAAAGAAAUGCUAGCUAUUAUUUGGUCUGUACGUCAUUUCAGACCAUACCUUUUCGGGCGUAGAUUCAAAAUAGUCACGGACCAUAAGCCAUUAAUCUGGUUAGAAAAUCUGAAAGGCCAGAAUCCAAAACUACUUCGAUGGAAGUAAAAAACACCUGGCAAAAACACAAGAACUCCUUCUUUGACGAACUUGGGGAAGACAGAAAUAAUAUUUCUUCAUUUAAGUUAACACAGGAGUUAACACACCCCUUUCCACAGCCACAGAGAGAGAACGCAGACCCGGCAACUGCAAGACCAGCGUCGAUGGACAACAACAAGAUCGCCAACGCAAGAACUUUGACGAAUACCCAUUACUCUUGUUCACUCAUACAUAUACCCGUUCACACUUCUUUAUAAAAAAAGAUCAUUCUUAUUUUGUACUCCAAGCAACACAGUCACUUUAUUUGCAAGCCUUCCUUUCAACAUUUUAAAAAGCGAUAAUCUCAUACGAGAUCUCCUCUACUCCCUCGGACACGAGACUGUAACUCGCGUGACUGAACUUAGCAUUUUAUUAGCUACUUCAGUAUUAUUUUGUAUUUGUCACUUUAAGUUUUAACUCAUAUAUUGCCUUUUUUCGUCACCAAAAUUGGUAUCAGAUAUUUUGGUUAUAUUACCUUGUCAAG